UACGUAGGGGGCAAGCGUUGUCCGGAUUUAUUGGGCGUAAAGAGCGUGUAGGCGGUCUGGUAGGUCCGUUGUGAAAACUCGAGGCUCAACCUCGAGACGCCGAUGGAAACCAUCAGACUAGAGUCCGGAAGAGGAGAGUGGAAUUCCUGGUGUAGCGGUGAAAUGCGCAGAUAUCAGGAAGAACACCCGUGGCUAAGGCGGCUCUCUAGUACGGUACUGACGCUGAGACGCGAAGCGUGGGAGCGAACAGG
rnacentral:rRNA from 1 species